UACGGAGGGUGCAAGCGUUAUCCGGAUUCACUGGGUUUAAAGGGUGCGUAGGCGGGCAGGUAAGUCCGUGGUGAAAUCUCUGAGCUUAACUCAGAAACUGCCAUGGAUACUAUUUGUCUUGAAUGUUGUGGAGGUAAGCGGAAUAUGUCAUGUAGCGGUGAAAUGCUUAGAUAUGACAUAGAACACCUAUUGCGAAGGCAGCUUACUACGCCUAUAUUGACGCUGAGGCACGAAAGCGUGGGGAUCAAACAGG
rnacentral:rRNA from 1 species